rnacentral:rRNA from 1 species
AGAGUUUGAUCAUGGCUCAGGACGAACGCUGGCGGCGUGCCUAACACAUGCAAGUCGAGCGGAGUGCAUCGACGGAAUCCUUCGGGAGGAAGAUGAUGUACUUAGCGGCGGAUGGGUGAGUAACGCGUGGGCAACCUGCCUCGAAGACCGGGAUAACAGCCUGAAAGGGAUGCUAAUACCGGAUGUGGUCAAGUAUCUGCAUGGGUAUUUGAUUAAAGGGGAAACCCGUUUCGAGAUGGGCCCGCGUCCUAUCAGCUAGUUGGUGAGGUAAAAGCUCACCAAGGCUACGACGGGUAGCCGGCCUGAGAGGGUGACCGGCCACACUGGAACUGAGACACGGUCCAGACUCCUACGGGGGGCAGCAGUGGGGAAUCUUCCACAAUGGGCGAAAGCCUGAUGGAGCGACGCCGCGUGAGCGAAGAAGGCCUUCGGGUUGUAAAGCUCUGUCUGGAGGGACGAAGGAAGUGACGGUACCUCCGGAGGAAGCCACGGCUAACUACGUGCCAGCAGCCGCGGUAAUUC